ensembl:lncRNA
AACGUAGCGGUGCUAAUGACUCUGCUGGUGCAAAAAAAAAAAUCCAUUAAAAAGCCGACAGGAUGGAAUACAUUUUUCCAGGCAGUUCCGUCCGAUGUCAUAAAAGAGCUUGGAAACGGGGGAAAUGAAGCAGACAUUGGACACGUUUCCAAAGUGACUGGGAGAAUGUGGAAAAACUUGCCCUCGGAAGUACGCAAGGAUUGGAAAGACAAAGCCCAACAAGAGCGGGAGGACAGGGACACAGGAUCUGUGCCGCUGACGGACUUUACUUCGUAAAAACAAUCUUCUGGUAGUGACGCAAGAACAUAAUUAUCGUUAAUCGUUGUUGUAUUGUACGAAUAUUUUGUAUUUAUAUCUUGAAUUGCCGACUCUAUAAGUUCUUUCGUUCCGUUUGUGUCUGCCAUCAUAGCCAGUCUUUGUGUCAUCAUAGUAACCAUAGUUACCACGCUGCGAUGUACGCGGUGUGUUUUGACGCAAUAGUGAUGGGCAAAUGAAGCUUUUAUGAAGCAUCGAACCAGUUGAGCCAAAUGUUUCGAAAAUGGGUUCAUUGCUCGAAGCUUCAGUGACAGUGACCUCUGCUGGCGAAGUUCG